UGGGGAAUUUUGGGCAAGGGCGAAAGCCUGAUCCAGCAAUGCCGCGUGUGUGAAGAAGGCCUUCGGGUUGUAAAGCACUUUUGUCCGGAAAGAAAUCCUUGGCUCUAAUACAGUCGGGGGAUGACGGUACCGGAAGAAUAAGCACCGGCUAACUACGUGCCAGCAGCCGCGGUAAUACGUAGGGUGCAAGCGUUAAUCGGAAUUACUGGGCGUAAAGCGUGCGCAGGCGGUUUGCUAAGACCGAUGUGAAAUCCCCGGGCUCAACCUGGGAACUGCAUUGGUGACUGGCAGGCUAGAGUAUGGCAGAGGGGGGUAGAAUUCCACGUGUAGCAGUGAAAUGCGUAGAGAUGUGGAGGAAUACCGAUGGCGAAGGCAGCCCCCUGGGCCAAAUACUGACGCUCAUGCACGAAAAGCGUGGGGAGCAAACAGGAUUAGAUACCCCUGGUAGUCCACGCCCUAAAACGAUGUCAACUAGUUGUUGGGGAUUCAUUUCCUUAGUAACGUAGCUAACGCGUGAAGUUGACCGCCUGGGGAGUACGGUCGC
rnacentral:rRNA from 1 species